rnacentral:rRNA from 1 species
UACGGAGGGUGCAAGCGUUGUUCGGAAUGACUGGGCGUAAAGCGCACGUAGGCGGGUUUGUAAGUCAGAUGUGAAAUCCCCAGGCUUAACCUGGGAACUGCAUUUGAAACUGCGAAUCUUGAAUGCUUGAGAGGUUGGUGGAAUUCCUGGUGUAGGAGUGAAAUCCGUAGAUAUCAGGAGGAAUAUCGGAGGCGAAGGCGACCAACUGGUGAUGCAUUGACGCUGAGGUGCGAAAGCGUGGGGAGCAAACAGG